rnacentral:piRNA from 1 species
AUGGGGCAUUGAAAUAGAUUGAAGAU